rnacentral:rRNA from 1 species
GUGGGGAAUAUUGGGCAAUGGGCGCAAGCCUGACCCAGCAACGCCGCGUGAAGGAAGAAGGCUUUCGGGUUGUAAACUUCUUUUACCAGGGACGAAACAAAUGACGGUACCUGGUGAAUAAGCCACGGCUAACUACGUGCCAGCAGCCGCGGUAAUACGUAGGUGGCGAGCGUUAUCCGGAUUUAUUGGGUGUAAAGGGCGUGUAGGCGGGACAGCAAGUCAGAUGUGAAAACCAGAGGCUCAACCUCUGGCCUGCAUUUGAAACUGUUGUUCUUGAGUGUCGGAGAGGUAAUCGGAAUUCCGUGUGUAGCGGUGAAAUGCGUAAGUAUACGGAGGAACACCAGUGGCGAAGGCGGAUUACUGGACGAUAACUGACGCUGAGGCGCGAAAGCGUGGGGAGCAAACAGGAUUAGAAACCCCUGUAGUCC